GAUCCUGGCUCAGGAUGAACGCUAGCUACAGGCUUAACACAUGCAAGUUGAGGGGCAGCAUGGUCUUAGCUUGCUAAGGCCGAUGGCGACCGGCGCACGGGUGAGUAACGCGUAUCCAACCUGCCUUACACUCUUGGACAGCCUUCUGAAAGGGAGAUUAAUACAAGAUGUUAUCAUGAGUAAGCAUUUUCGUCAUGUAUUAAAGGUUUAACCGGGUUCGGUUAAGGAAUGGGGAGUGCGUUCCU
rnacentral:rRNA from 1 species